rnacentral:rRNA from 1 species
UGAGGAAUAUUGGGCAAUGCCCGCAAGGGUGACCCAGCAACGCCGCGUGGAGGAUGAAUGUCGUAAGAUUGUAAACUCCUGUUAGAGGGGAAGAAUAGUACCGGUUGGACCGGUAUAUGACUGUACCCUCAGAGAAAGCCCCGGCUAACUACGUGCCAGCAGCCGCGGUAAUACGUAGGGGGCAAGCGUUGUCCGGAUUUACUGGGUGUAAAGGGCGCGCAGGCGGGAUAAAAAGUCAGUGGUGAAAUCCUACAGCUUAACUGUAGAACUGCCUUUGAUACUUUUAAUCUUGAGUUCGGGAGAGAGAGACGGAAUUCCAGGUGUAGUGGUGAAAUACGUAGAUAUCUGGAAGAAAACCAGUUGCGAAGGCGGUCUCUUGGUCCGACACUGACGCUGAGGCGCGAAAGCGUGGGGAGCAAACA